UACGUAGGUGGCAAGCGUUGUCCGGAUUUACUGGGCGUAAAGAGCGCGCAGGCGGUUGUGCAAGUCGCGUGUGAAAGCCCCCGGCUCAACUGGGGAGGGUCACGCGAUACUGCUCGACUUGAAGGCAGGAGAGGGAAGUGGAAUUCCCGGUGUAGUGGUGAAAUGCGUAGAGAUCGGGAGGAACACCUGUGGCGAAGGCGGCCGACUGGGCCGACCCUGACCGCUGAGGCGCGAAAGCGUGGGGGAGCAAACAGG
rnacentral:rRNA from 1 species